rnacentral:lncRNA from 1 species
GUCCAUUUUAAGACACAUGGUCUUCAACUCCCAGAAUUCCCCAGCCAGUGACCAAGGUUGAAAAAUUAUUAUGGCUUAUUCAACUACAGAGUUAACAUGAAGCUUGACUGCCCCCACCCCAAAAUAUAUUGUAUAUUGACUUUGAUUAGUUACUUACUUCCUCUUAAGUCAGCCUACCUCACAGGAUUAUCUUUGCCUUCGUGAAGUGAAAUGAGUUUCUAAACUAAACUACCAAUGAUUAGACUCUUUCUACUGUAGUUUAAGCAGUUUCCCAAAGAUUUUGCGCUCUGUUUGCUAGGCAAUCCUGCCUUUCCCCCCAACCCCAAUCUCUGGCUCCUUAAAGGCAGGUUUUAUAACAACAAAGGAAACCCAGCAGCUGGAAAUUCAAACACACAAAAGAAAAAGAAACAGGGAAACAAAAAAGCAGGUUACCACCAGCCGCUCCCUCUCCGAUUUCUCUUCAAAAUCAAAUAAAACAUUUAAUGGGGCCACACCGGGAACGCCCAUCCAAGCAGUUUCUACUUGUACACCACUCGAGGAAUUGCUGGUGUAACCCGAUCCUAAGGCACUUGCAAGCGGGCCGGCCGCUUUUCCCGACCUAGAUCCCACAGAACCUGCGCCUAACAGGAUCCCAAAUCCCCGCUCCAUAUUACUGGAUCUCCUCUGUCCGGACGUGCUUAAGAAGGGCAAUAAGCCCUCAAAAGCAAAAGCCAAUCCUGAACAGAGGCGCAGCAAGAACCGCGCAAAUGGGAAAGGGAGAGCUCCGCAGAGCCUUGCGCGCCCCGCCUCCGGGGCUCCCUCGGCCAGAAUCGGGGCUCUCCAGAAGCCUGGGGGGGGGGGUGUUUGGCCUUGCAGGAUCGGGGGCCCGGGAGUACCGACUACCGCCCCGUCCUCCUUUUCCUCGCUUCCGACGGUCGGUGCUGCGAGCGAACAGAAGGACGGGCAAACUGCCGCGCCCUGUUCGGGCAUGAGUCCAGAAGCGCGCAGCCCUCCCCGGAGAGGGGAAAACUUUGCGCGAAAGAGCCGGGAGGGGAGGGAGAGUCCGGGAUCAACCCCCUCCCCGAAGCACUCACCGUCCGGCUGGGAGUUGCGAGGCGGUAAAAGACGGGCUGGAGAGUCCCCCCCACCAACCCUUCGGCACGGCGGAGCGAACUUUCUCCUCCCCGGCGGCGCGCAGGUGAACCUUUCGCCCAGGUUCCUUUGAAGGUGAUGAUCCCAUGCUAGAAUAAGAAUCUUGCGAGAUCAACCCAGUGAUUCGGGAUCCUGUGCUCAAGAGCAAAUUGUGAAGAGACUGAAACAGAUGUAUCUUGGAGAUCUUCCAAACAGGAUGAGGUUAUUCCUCAGGGGCUAUUAAUCACUAAACCUUUGAAUUAUCAGGCACCGGAAGCCAUAAUCAAGGUACUUGUUCUUCAUGCUUUGCUUGUGAACCUCCCAGUUGCAUAUGAAUGCUGGAUGAGAUGGCUUGGAGGGGCCCUGAUCUCAUCUACUCAUGAGCAGCAGGCUUGCUUCAAUUUCCUCUUUAGGUCAUCCGAGGCAUGGUUCAGAUUUAAUCCUGGCUGCUCAGCCUCAGCGCAGGCGCCUCACGGGAAUACAAUCCUGGAUUCAUUUGCCAGCGUUUUAACAAGAUUUCCUGAAAUGACCUUAACCUCGAGAAAUUGAGUGAAAUUGAAGUUCACUCACUUUAAGAUGAGUGAACUUUAAUUCCCAGAAUUCCCUAGCCAGCACGGGGAAUUCUGGGAGUUGAAGUCCACAGGUCUUAAAG